rnacentral:lncRNA from 1 species
GAAAUCUACUGAGAAAUUGGUGAAAAAACUUGACAGUCAAUUACAAAAUUAUAUUACAUCAAAUGAUUCAAAAAUAUAGGAUAUGAAUAAAAAGAGAUCUCUGGUGGAUAAACUUCUCUUGAAUUAUGAUGGAAUUUUGGGGAGUCCUCCAGCUGGUAUCAAUUGGCAAAAGGAUUUGGCAACAGAACAAGAUUGGGUGAACAAUAUUAUGGCACCAUGGCAAGGUUUCAGUUGAAUAAUUACAAUCAUAGGGUGGAGUUUCCAUACUUUGACGAAAUAGAUUCUCGCACUUGGUUGAGGAAGCGUGAAAGACUUCCUUUUUAAUCAUGUGACUGACCCACAACAAAGCUGGAGAUGGUUGUUCUUCACCUUAAUGAUAAGGCCGAAUCUUGAUUGUUCUCCUAUAAUUUGAGUAAAGGGACAAUCAGGUAGACUAAUUUUACUGAAGAACUAUGCACAAGAUUCAUUGAAUCUGAUAGCCACUUCAAUCUAAUGGAAAAAUUUAAAGAAUUGAGUAAAAGGGUAUAGUUACUGAAUACCUAGAGAAGUUCGAAGAUCUUAAGGCUUGGAUCUCUAUUAGAAAUCCCACCAUCCCUGAGGAUUUCUUCUUGGGAUACUUUAUUCAAGGGUUGAAGGAUGAGAUCAAGCAAUGCUGUCAAAAUGCUUGCUCCAUUUACCUUCAACCAGAUUGUUGAGAAAGCAAAGACAUUAAGAGGAAUUGUUAGAUACUGCGAGUAGAAAGAACAUGGUAACAUGGAGUAAAAAUAUUUUACAGGCUAAUAAUCAUCCAUACACUACUAGGAAUAGAAUUUGGGGGCAAGGCCAUAAGGAAAGAAAUUCCAGUUCAGCUCUUGCUGGUACUAAAUUGUGUGAGGCUAGAAAAACACAAUAGUUGUGAUAAUAAAUGUGGCGGCAAGUAUUUUCCAAGGCAUGAAUGUAAGACUAAGCAAAUCAAUGUUAUUUCUGCUUUAAUGGAGAAUACUGAAGAUGAGAAACAAGGAAUUAUUCUAGAGGAGGAGGGCUAUAAUGUUGAAUAUCAGGACGCAUGUGGUUAUGGAUGAAGCUAGCAGUUUAAAUACAUUAGAUGGUACUGAAGUUCCUAAUACCAUACAUUUGCAAGGAGAAGUUAGAAGGAAGACUUUGACUAUUUUACUAGACUCUGAUAGCACCCACAGUUUUCUUGACCUUGAGACAGAUAAAUAGAUAGGUUGCUAGUAAAACUGCACGUACGAGGGUAACAAUAGCUGAUGGAUACCACUUGAUGAGUCUACAUACAUGGCCUUAGUUCAGAUG